UGUGACAACCAAGUGAAACAUGGUGGCUGGGAUUGGAGCCUGCACCAGAAAAAUGACCAUUUAAUGUCCAUGAAGGAAAAACUGGUGACAUCCAAAUAAAGUCUGCAGUCGGGUUAAUAGUAUUGUUCCAAUGUUAAUUUCGUCUCUUUGACAAAUGUACCGUGGUUAUGUAAGAUGUUCACAUUAGCAGAAGGUGGGUGCAGGAUGC
rnacentral:lncRNA from 1 species